rnacentral:rRNA from 1 species
UGCAAGUCGAGCGGCAGCACGGGGAGCUUGCUCCCUGGUGGCGAGCGGCGGACGGGUGAGUAAUGCAUAGGAAUCUGCCCGGUAGUGGGGGAUAACCUGGGGAAACCCAGGCUAAUACCGCAUACGUCCUACGGGAGAAAGCAGGGGAUCUUCGGACCUUGCGCUAUCGGAUGAGCCUAUGUCGGAUUAGCUGGUUGGUGAGGUAAUGGCUCACCAAGGCGACGAUCCGUAGCUGGUCUGAGAGGAUGAUCAGCCACACUGGGACUGAGACACGGCCCAGACUCCUACGGGAGGCAGCAGUGGGGAAUAUUGGACAAUGGGCGCAAGCCUGAUCCAGCCAUGCCGCGUGUGUGAAGAAGGCCCUCGGGUUGUAAAGCACUUUCAGCGAGGAAGAAGGCUUGGCGGUCAAUACCCGUCAAGAAGGACAUCACUCGCAGAAGAAGCACCGGCUAACUCCGUGCCAGCAGCCGCGGUAAUACGGAGGGUGCGAGCGUUAAUCGGAAUUACUGGGCGUAAAGCGCGCGUAGGUGGUUUGGCACGCCGGUUGUGAAAGCCCCGGGCUCAACCUGGGAACGGCAUCCGGAACGGCCAGACUAGAGUGCAGGAGAGGAAGGUAGAAUUCCCGGUGUAGCGGUGAAAUGCGUAGAGAUCGGGAGGAAUACCAGUGGCGAAGGCGGCCUUCUGGCCUGACACUGACACUGAGGUGCGAAAGCGUGGGUAGCAAACAGGAUUAGAUACCCUGGUAGUCCACGCCGUAAACGAUGUCGACUAGCCGUUGGGACCUUUAAGGACUUAGUGGCGCAGUUAACGCGAUAAGUCGACCGCCUGGGGAGUACGGCCGCAAGGUUAAAACUCAAAUGAAUUGACGGGGGCCCGCACAAGC